rnacentral:rRNA from 1 species
GAUUCCCCCAGUAGCGGCGAGCGAACGGGGAGGAGCCCAGAGCCUGAAUCAGUGUGUGUGUUAGUGGAAGCGUCUGGAAAGGCGCGCGAUACAGGGUGACAGCCCCGUACACAAAAAUGCACAUGCUGUGAGCUCGAUGAGUAGGGCGGGACACGUGGUAUCCUGUCUGAAUAUGGGGGGACCAUCCUCCAAGGCUAAAUACUCCUGACUGACCGAUAGUGAACCAGUACCGUGAGGGAAAGGCGAAAAGAACCCCGGCGAGGGGAGUGAAAAAGAACCUGAAACCGUGUACGUACAAGCAGUGGGAGCCUCUUUAUGGGGUGACUGCGUACCUUUUGUAUAAUGGGUCAGCGACUUAUAUUCUGUAGCAAGGUUAACCGAAUAGGGGAGCCGAAGGGAAACCGAGUCUUAACUGGGCGUUAAGUUGCAGGGUAUAGACCCGAAACCCGGUGAUCUAGCCAUGGGCAGGUUGAAGGUUGGGUAACACUAACUGGAGGACCGAACCGACUAAUGUUGAAAAAUUAGCGGAUGACUUGUGGCUGGGGGUGAAAGGCCAAUCAAACCGGGAGAUAGCUGGUUCUCCCCGAAAGCUAUUUAGGUAGCGCCUCGUGAAUUCAUCUCCGGGGGUAGAGCACUGUUUCGGCAAGGGGGUCAUCCCGACUUACCAACCCGAUGCAAACUGCGAAUACCGGAGAAUGUUAUCACGGGAGACACACGGCGGGUGCUAACGUCCGUCGUGAAGAGGGAAACAACCCAGACCGCCAGCUAAGGUCCCAAAGUCAUGGUUAAGUGGGAAACGAUGUGGGAAGGCCCAGACAGCCAGGAUGUUGGCUUAGAAGCAGCCAUCAUUUAAAGAAAGCGUAAUAGCUCACUGGUCGAGUCGGCCUGCGCGGAAGAUGUAACGGGGCUAAACCAUGCACCGAAGCUGCGGCAGCGACACUAUGUGUUGUUGGGUAGGGGAGCGUUCUGUAAGCCUGUGAAGGUGUACUGUGAGGUAUGCUGGAGGUAUCAGAAGUGCGAAUGCUGACAUAAGUAACGAUAAAGCGGGUGAAAAGCCCGCUCGCCGGAAGACCAAGGGUUCCUGUCCAACGUUAAUCGGGGCAGGGUGAGUCGACCCCUAAGGCGAGGCCGAAAGGCGUAGUCGAUGGGAAACAGGUUAAUAUUCCUGUACUUGGUGUUACUGCGAAGGGGGGACGGAGAAGGCUAUGUUGGCCGGGCGACGGUUGUCCCGGUUUAAGCGUGUAGGCUGGUUUUCCAGGCAAAUCCGGAAAACUAAGGCUGAGGCGUGAUGACGAGGCACUACGGUGCUGAAGCAACAAAUGCCCUGCUUCCAGGAAAAGCCUCUAAGCAUCAGGUAACAUCAAAUCGUACCCCAAACCGACACAGGUGGUCAGGUAGAGAAUACCAAGGCGCUUGAGAGAACUCGGGUGAAGGAACUAGGCAAAAUGGUGCCGUAACUUCGGGAGAAGGCACGCUGAUAUGUAGGUGAAGCGACUUGCUCGUGGAGCUGAAAUCAGUCGAAGAUACCAGCUGGCUGCAACUGUUUAUUAAAAACACAGCACUGUGCAAACACGAAAGUGGACGUAUACGGUGUGACGCCUGCCCGGUGCCGGAAGGUUAAUUGAUGGGGUUAGCGCAAGCGAAGCUCUUGAUCGAAGCCCCGGUAAACGGCGGCCGUAACUAUAACGGUCCUAAGGUAGCGAAAUUCCUUGUCGGGUAAGUUCCGACCUGCACGAAUGGCGUAAUGAUGGCCAGGCUGUCUCCACCCGAGACUCAGUGAAAUUGAACUCGCUGUGAAGAUGCAGUGUACCCGCGGCAAGACGGAAAGACCCCGUGAACCUUUACUAUAGCUUGACACUGAACAUUGAGCCUUGAUGUGUAGGAUAGGUGGGAGGCUUUGAAGUGUGGACGCCAGUCUGCAUGGAGCCGACCUUGAAAUACCACCCUUUAAUGUUUGAUGUUCUAACGUUGGCCCCUGAUCGGGGUUGCGGACAGUGUCUGGUGGGUAGUUUGACUGGGGCGGUCUCCUCCUAAAGAGUAACGGAGGAGCACGAAGGUUGGCUAAUCCUGGUCGGACAUCAGGAGGUUAGUGCAAUGGCAUAAGCCAGCUUGACUGCGAGCGUGACGGCGCGAGCAGGUGCGAAAGCAGGUCAUAGUGAUCCGGUGGUU